rnacentral:lncRNA from 1 species
GCUGCAAAUACCAAAAGCUGUCCUCAUUGAGUCAUCCCUCCCAGAGCAGGAAGAGCAGAGGUUCUGGGAAACAACCCCAAGGAGAGAGACAGGGCAUUUAUAAAACAGCAUGUAAGCAUCUCUGCAGUUGCUGUCCCCAGAGCCCACUUCCUGGAUAUUGCCAGCUGCCUGGACCAACCUUUCCGAAAGAUCAGCCAGGUCACAGUGAGGGUCAAAGGCGGGCGAGCAUUCACCAAGUGUUGUUGUUAAAGAAAAAAAGAAAGAAAAAGAAACCAGGAUUGUACCUGAGGUCAGGCAGACAGUGCUCAACUCAGCACUGGGAAGAUUGCUAGAAGCCUUGGGCCUAUCUAGGAAGACUGGGCCAACAUGCGAUCCCCUCUGCAAGGUGGAGGCCAUGCACCUGCCUCCUGCUCCUGAGCUCCGGUAUCCUCACUGUGACCCAGGCCCCACUGCAGCAAAGAGACACUGGGAAUUAGCCCUUCUGUCCCCUCCUUGCCAGAAGGUACCAGCGAAGAGGGCAAGAACACAGCACUACUUCCUUGGAUACUGUUUCCCUCCUCAGAGGGGUUUUCUGAGCUGCCCUGGGUCCUGUGAGGAAGAUCUCCCCUUCCUGUAAAGACACCAGUCCUACUGGAUCAGGGCCCACCCGUGUGACUUCACUUUUACUUGAGUACCUCUCACAGACCCUAACUCCAAAUCAGGUCACUUGCUGAGGUACUGCAUGUGAAGACUUUGACAUUUGAAUUUUGAGGGGGCCACCGUUUAACCUGAACCACCAAGGACAGAGCCAAAGACCCUGGGUGACAGGCCCAGAACAGGACCUGGUGGAGGCUCUUCUUUAGGGGAGAGAGGGAAAUGGGAGCCACCACUGGCAGAGCCUGAAGGCAGGGCAGCCAGAAAGAAGCUGUGGGAGUCCCCACCAUGGAAGACCCUGCCGAGCAUCCUGUGUCUCCUGAAGCAGACCCUGACAUGAGGACUGGGGGCACGUGUUUAUUAAGGGCGAUCCCCGGAAGGAGGAGAUAACCAGGCAGAAGUCCUAGCAGAGUAUGCCCACGCUGGUUAGUGCUGCUGCAAAGAUGAGCCGAAGACCAUGAGAGACCUCCAGGUGGUCCUUCUGGGGAGAAGAAAUGGGUUUUGGCCCCAAAUCCUUCUGCUGCAUUUUUCCCCUAUCCCUGGGAAGCCAUGAGACCUCAAACCUGUGUUCCCAAGGAGGCGAGCUGCUGUUCCCAGGUGAUGAUAUGAUGUGCUUGGGGAAAGUAAGUGGCUGCCAGACAUGGCUGAGAGCUGUUGUCACUGCCGUCAAGUGCAUGUCUCCAAGCCAUAUCACACGGCGUCCCUCGAUGUGAGGCCACAUGGCAAGUGGGCCGUGGAUCUCCCUCUGCCCUUUGCAAGCACGUAAGACAGCAGAUUUUGCAGAUACCUUGUGGCGCAGGGGAAUUUCCUUUGGCCAGGUCUGAAGAAAUAAAGCAGCAGGCACCGAGAACAAAGCCAAGGCUUUCAAAAGACAAGGAGCCAAAAAACUUACUCAAAAUAAAAGUAGUUUUAAAAUG